UGACUCCCACUCCCAACUUGACUCCCAACUUGACUCCCAAGACUCCCACUCCCAACACUCCCAUGACUCCCACUCCCAACUUGACUCCCAACUCUCCCACUCCCAACUUGACUCCCAAGACUCCCACUCCCAUGACUCCCACUCCCAACUUGACUCCCAACACUCCCAUGACUCCCACUCCCAACACUCCCUCUCCCAACUUGACUCCCAAUUCGGAGAAAGCCCAUUAUUAAGGCGGCUACGGCAAGGGGGCCUAUCAUAAAGGAUGUUAUCAUACAUGCAAAUAUCACCAUUGUUGCACCUAUGAAGAAUAUAUGGCCCUGGGAAAAGCCAAUUAAUCUGAGCCACAGAAUUAAUUAAUUAGUGCUUAAUUAUGCGUUGUAAUUGUAAUCCUUUGUAAUGUGAGUGGCAAGGCCAUAGUAAUCUUGCUAGUUUAAAACUUUUGCUUGUAUAAAUAAAGCCAUUCAGUAGUUCCUAUGGAUGGUGUUGGUCAUGGUCAUGUAAAGUUCUGUUGUAUGAUAUGUAUGAUAUUGUGUUAAAAAAAAUGUUGCACAGUGUUUAA